GCAACACUGAAUCAUUUAUGAGGAUUGCAUUUCCGGCAUUGUAAUAUAGUUUGUACAUUCAGGAGUUGAACUACAUAUGAGCUUCGGAGGGCCAAAGGUUUUUAAAUUUAAAAUUUUACUUAUAAAUUUUCGUGUAUUUUUUUAAAAAAUUACUGUUUGCCCUCCAAAAUUUUCAAAAUUAAAAUGACCUAUAAUUUUUUUUUUU
rnacentral:misc_RNA from 1 species